CAUAAACCAUAAGGAGGUGAGUUUCGAUAAAACUUUAUUUACAGAAAGAGGUGACAAGUUGAAUUUGGCCCACAGGUCAGUUUGUCAACCCCUUGCGUAUAAGAUCCUUUUUAAACCUGCUCCAAACUCCAAUUCCAAUUGUUCCUCUUCAUUUACUCAUAAUUUCUACUUCCAUGCCAAAUUUAUUUUUGUGAAAAUGCAGGAUAUAUAUUUAUAGUAACACCAUAUGUAAUACCCUAAGCCUGAUCCCUGAACAAGGUGAAUUAAUUAUUUACAUCUUUAUGAUAUCUAUAUACAGGGUAGUACUUGUAGGUAUCCACUCCCACUUGAAAUCCUACAAUCUAUAAUGAAGCAAAGCCCAAGUGUCCAUCACUAAUGGAAACCACUGCCCCUCCUGGUCAUUUACUAUUAGAGGAAAAUUCCACUUUUUCCAACGGAAGGCCUAGGUAAGAGUUUUCUUCAUUACGGUGCAAGAAGAAAAAAGGAGACCAUUCCUUCAAUCUUCCCUUAACUGUUUAAGCCAUCCAGAGAUUAGACACUCAGUCAACCCUAGGAGAUGAGGACGGAAAAGUGAUGUUUCUUGCAUCCAGUAUCAUGAAACAAAUUCAUAUUGGUUGUAGAAGUCACUAGCUCAGAAGAGAGAAGCAAUGGUGGAUGCACACUCCAGAGUGUUGUGGCAUGAGGCAUAGGAAAGGCAUGGCAGGUUAUACAGUUAAGCUAGACUUUCAUUAAACGUGGCUGCGCUACCUUGAAAAUGAAUAGCUUCAGUGGGACAUGGGUCAAGUGGAUACUUUUACAUAUGGGAGAGAUUUUCGUAUGUUUAUGUUCUUGUUAUAAAUAAGUAAUAUAAGUAUAGUAUAAAUAAGUAAUAUAAUUAUAAUAUAAAUAAGUAAUAUAAGAGAUUAAUGACAAAACAGAUAAUAAGCAUGAUUGAAAAAGAAGGGCCCAGAGAUUCAGGAUAAAAUGGGAGUUGGAGUUCAAGUAGAGGCUUAGUCUUAGGUUAAGGAAUGUCAUGGAUUGAAUUAUGUCCCCUCUCCUCCCCCCAGUGCAUCAACUUGGUUAGGCUGUGAUUCCCAGUACUGUGUGGUAGUCCUCCAUUUUGUGAUUGUAAUGUUAUGUCAAGAGGAUUAGUGUGACCUCACUCAGGUCACCUCCCUGAUCAUGGUAAAGGGAGUUUCCUUGGGGUGUGGCCUGCACCACCUUUUAUCUUUCAAGAGAUAAAAGGAAAGGGAAGCAAGCAGAGAGUUGGGGACCUCACAUUACCAAGAAAACAGCACUGGGAGCAGAGCGCUUCCUUUGGCCCUGGGGUCCCUGUGCCUGAGAAGCUCCUUGACCAGGGGAAGAUUGAUGUCAAGGAGCCAACAGAAAGAGAAAGCCUUCCCUUGGAACCGAUGCCCUGAAUUUGGACUUUUAACCUACUAGACUGUGAGAGAAUAAAUUUCUUUUUGUUAAAGCCAUCCACUUGUGGUAUUUCUGUUUUAGCAGCACCGGGUAACUAAGACACCUCUACUACUAAAACUAAGGAAAAAACAGGAGGAAUAGAUAUGCUUAUUGAUGGGAGAUGAAAGAGUUCCUGCCUCAUAACUCUAUUUUCUCUUACAUGGCCAUGUGAUGAGAAUAUAAGGGCAAAAUACUGCACACCUAAAGAUAAUAAAAUUUGAAGUAAAUCCAGAAGAAGAAAAGAAAAUGUUCUGCAUCCCACCCUACCCCCUUUCCUGAAGAUCACAGCCAGCCCUUCAAAAGUCAGCACCAGAUCCCAAGCUACCUUGGCAAAGAGAUGGCCGAAAAGAAUAUGACUAGAGAAAUAGAAGACUCUUACAAACUGGUCAGGAGCUCUUCUCAGGACUGAGGUAAGUCACCACAGGAAGAAAUGACAAGGGCUAAUACUUGCUAGCAAGGCCAGGAGAGGCCCAAUGCAAAGAA